rnacentral:lncRNA from 13 species
UGGGGUUUAUGGUCUAUGGGGGACUAUGGGGUCUAUGGGGUCUAUGGUCUAUGGGGGACUAUGGGGUCUAUGGGGUCUAUGGUAGAAGGAGAACAAUGUAUCUCAGUAGUGCUCUGAGAUAAUGUCUACCUUUUCCCUGCAUAGUGCACUUCUUUUCACCAGAGCCCUGUUGGUGACUGUCUCCCUGAUACGAAGGUGUUUAAAGUCUGAGCCAACAGCCUCCAAGGACACACACAGCCCAGAAAACUCUUAGCCAACAGCCUCCAAGGACACACACAGCCCAAAAAAACUCUUAGCCAAUAGCCUCAAAGGACACACACAGCCCAGAAAACUCUGUGUGUUUGUGUGUGGCUAUGUCAUUUCCAGGAGAAGGUCAUUUAUCGGAGGAGGUGGAGGAGGGGGAGAGAGACAGACAGACAGACAGACAGGCAGGCAGACAGACUUCUUCAUGGGGGGUAGGUUUCAGCGGUAGCAGGACAGAGCUGGGAGUGAAAUGGACUCCAUUACAGGGUUAGUGUGCCAGAAAGCACUGAUGACAUCACCCGGAAAACAGCACAAGGGCUUGGCACUGAGAGGAAUCUUACUGUGUAUGGGUAGGAACCUUCCCUCGGGUCCCUAUUCUAACAAACCCAUGGUAAAUCUAUGUGCAGCCGGUAGCAUUAAAAGUUCAGACGUAUGCCAGAGAUAUUUUUGCUAUUUUCACUAUCACAACAAACCCUAUUCCCUACAUGUAUAGUCUACCCUAUUCCCUACAUGUGUAUAGUCUACCCUAUUCCCAAUGUGUAUAGUCUACCCUAUUCCCUACAUGUGUAUAGUCUACCCUAUUCCCAAUGUGUAAAGUCUACCCUAUUCCCUACAUGUAUAGUCUACCCUAUUCCCAAUGUGUAUAGUCUACCCUAUUCCCUACAUGUGUAUAGUCUACCCUAUUCUCUACAUGUGUAUAGUCUACCCUAUUCCCUACAUGUGUAUAGUCUACCCUAUUCCCAAUGUGUAAAGUCUACCCUAUUCCCUACAUGUGUAUAGUCUACCC